rnacentral:rRNA from 1 species
GUGCGCAGCCGCCGCGGUAAUACCGGCAGCCCGAGUGAUGGCCGAUCUUAUUGGGCCUAAAGCGUCCGUAGCUGGGUCUGAAAGUCCAUCGGGAAAUCCACUCGCACAACGAGUGGGCGUCCGACGGAAACUGCACAGCUUGGGACCGGAAGGCGCGACGGGUACGUCCGGGGUAGGAGUGAAAUCCCGUAAUCCUGGACGGACCGCCGAUGGCGAAAGCACGUCGCGAGGACGGAUCCGACAGUGAGGGACGAAAGCCAGGGUCUCGAACCGGAUUAGAUACCCCGGUAGUCC